AUUGAACGCUGGCGGCAGGCCUAACGCAUGCAAGUCGAACGGUAACAGGAAGCAGCUUGCUGCUUCGCUGACGAGUGGCGGACGGGUGAGUAAUGUCUGGGAAGCUGCCUGAUGGAGGGGGAUAACUACUGGAAACGGUAGCUAAUACCGCAUAAUGUCGCAAGACCAAAGAGGGGGACCUUCGGGCCUCUUGCCAUCGGAUGUGCCCAGAUGGGAUUAGCUUGUUGGUGGGGUAACGGCUCACCAAGGCGACGAUCCCUAGCUGGUCUGAGAGGAUGACCAGCCACACUGGAACUGAGACACGGUCCAGACUCCUACGGGAGGCAGCAGUGGGGAAUAUUGCACAAUGGGCGCAAGCCUGAUGCAGCCAUGCCGCGUGUAUGAAGAAGGCCUUCGGGUUGUAAAGUACUUUCAGCGGGGAGGAAGGGAGUAAAGUUAAUACCUUUGCUCAUUGACGUUACCCGCAGAAGAAGCACCGGCUAACUCCGUG
rnacentral:rRNA from 1 species